rnacentral:rRNA from 1 species
GACGAACGCUGGCGGCGUGCUUAACACAUGCAAGUCGAACGGUGAAAGCGGAGCUUGCUCCGCUGGAUCAGUGGCGAACGGGUGAGUAACACGUGGGCCACCUGCCCCUCACUUCGGGAUAACUCCGGGAAACCGGGGCUAAUACCGGAUAUGACCUCCUUGGGCAUCCUUGGAGGUGGAAAGUUUUUCGGUGAGGGAUGGGCCCGCGGCCUAUCAGCUUGUUGGUGAGGUAGUGGCUCACCAAGGCGACGACGGGGAGCCGGCCUGAGAGGGCGACAGGCCACACUGGGACUGAGACACGGCCCAGACUCCUACGGGAGGCAGCAGUGGGGAAUAUUGCGCAAUGGGCGAAAGCCUGACGCAGCAACGCCGCGUGCGGGAUGACGGCCUUCGGGUUGUAAACCGCUUUCAGCAGGGAAGAAGCCGCAAGGUGACGGUACCUGCAGAAGAAGCACCGGCUAACUACGUGCCAGCAGCCGCCGUAA